rnacentral:lncRNA from 1 species
UUUUGUUGUUGUUUUGUUUUGUUUUUUGUUUUUUGUUUUUUUGUUUUGUUUUGUUUUUCCCCUCAUGCUGGGGCUUCUCCUGUCUUUGUAAAUCACCUAUAGAUUAUUACUUGUCCUCCUCUUGUUUUCUUCUCUGCUUUUCUUUAUCAGAACUUUAGUGUUUUAUGGAUUUGAGAUUUACAUCGUGGUAUUUUGGGCUGUGUAUACAUAGUGAGGUGGUUACUAUAGUCAAGCAAAUUAACAUAUAUUUGCUUCCACAGUUACUUUUUGUGACAAGGGCAGCAAAAAAAAAAAAAUCAUCUUGGUAAAAAAUACUCUAGACUUGGCCUGUGCACCUGUGUCAAUGCAUCUCUCCCCCAGCGUCGCCUUAUUUCCUGUCAUCUCUGUAGUUUUGGUCUUUUGCAGAAUUCUACAUAUAUAAGUGAGAUUUUAUAAUACUUCUUUGUCUGCUCUAAUUCACUUGGGAAGAUGUCCUCCAGGGGCCCUGUUGUGGCGAAGGUUAGGAUCUAGGUACCAGUUUCUUCUCUGGUUUCAUGAACUGUGAGUUAAAGAGCCCUGGGUACAAUAUCAGUGCAGCACAUCAGACUAUGACAUUUAGUUGAUGAGACCUUGAUGUAGUAGAAUAACACUUUUUCUGAGCCAGCCUGGGUGAGCUGGGUGGUGCACCUACAGGUUGGGAGGCUGGCUAGGUGCCUGCCUCGGCUUCUGGAGUGCUUCACAGCCAAGGUCUUUAAUAUAGUUUGAUGUUUUAAGAUGUAGAAUUCAGAUGGACUAACUUAACUGCAUUGAUGUACAAAACUUAAAACUCUGAAAUGCUACUAACCCACAUUGUUUCCAUAUUCUGCCUACCUGCCUGCCUGCCUUCCUUCCUUCCUUCCUUUUUCAAAGGAUUAAGGCAGAAAAUGGAGCUUGUGCAGUAGGAGACCUCAAAGCCUGCUUGCACAAUGAUGCACUUCUAACAAGGCCACAUCUCCUAACAGUGCAACUUCCCAUGGACCAAGCUUAACUUCCCAUGGGCCAAGCAUUCAAGCCAGCGCACCAACUUUAUACCAAUGACACAGUGGAUAAAUGACUUCCAUAGUCACUGAAGUUUACACAAGGAAGAUUGAUGCCAAGGACCAGUCCUGACUUGGAGAGGGAUUCUGAGAGAAGGGGUGUCCAGAAGCCUCAACACAAAUGACUUGAAGUCAAAUUGUGGGCUACAACCUGAUGGCCUAUGUUCUGCUCAAGACAGCUUUCCAAAUUGCUCUCUUGCUCUUGCUCAUGCUUGCACACCCCUCACCCCACCCCCACCCCCACCAUCCGUCCAGUGUUCGGGUUUUUCACUAUUCUAAAAACUCUCUGGAUACUUCCUGUCCUGCAGAUCAAAAAAUGCAGUCUUUUAUUUUACCUAUCAAUUCAGUCUUUACCCCAGGUUCCCUUUUGACCAUCCCAUGAAUCAGCAUCCCAUGACAUCAGCCCCUUGAUUCUUAGAAAGAGACAGCAUGCACAAGCACAGCCAAUGAGAUAGCUGGGUGGGACCACACCCUGAAAUCAUUACCAUUCUGACCACGCCUGGACCUAAAUUAGGUCGGCCCCAGGCUGACCUUGAACUCAGGACCCACCUGCCUUUGUAAGCAUAAACAAAAAAAAAUUACCUGGGUGGGCUCAUGCCUUAUGAUCGAUCAGCAGUCCCUCAGUCUCUUAUCUCCUUCCUUAGUAUCUUCCUGACAACUGGCUCACAGUUCAGCUAUCUCUGUUCCUAAAGAUCUGUGAAGCUCCUUAUAUAAUUCAUAUUGUCUCCUUAUAUUUUGCAUAGUUGAGCAAUAAUAAGGUUUUGAACUCAUGUUUUCAGAGUUCUCUCCCACAGCCUCAAGGGCUGUCCUGAAGGUCAUAGUAUUCCACCAUUUUGCUGAGAUAUUAGACUCACCCUCACCUCCUGGACACAUGCUGUCUCUGAUUAUCAUGGAGUCUUUAACCUUGAUAGAGAGGACAUUCCUUGAAGGAAGAACAUGAAAAUAUGUACACUAUUAUACAAACAAGCCUUAUGCCUACAGCAACCAUCAACACUCAUGGAGGCCCAUGCCCUGCUGGCUCUGCUCCAGGGGCAAGGACCAUGUCAUGCUGUCCCUUACACAUGGCCAAGCAGGACUUGGUGGAUUGACAUUAUAUAAUGUCAGCGGCAAGGACCAUGUCAUGCUGUCCCUUACACAUGGCCAAGCAGGACUUGGUGGAUUGACAUUAUAUAGUGUCUUAAAGACGGUUACUGUUGAGGUUCUCCACACUAGGUGGUUGGAAAAAAUAAGUGCUUUAUUUAUUUAUUUAUUUAUUUAUUUAUAGAUAAGGUUUUAUCAUGUAGUCUGGCCUGGUCUCCUAACUAAGUGCUGGGGAUUACUGGUGUUGGCUAGCAUAUCUGGUCCCCAUCUCCCCCAGGACUUUGAUUCUGUUGUAACCAGAUUUCACCAAGGAACACUUCAUUUUAGUGAUUCACUUUUCUUUUGAAAUUCGGUACCAUCCAUAUGAGAGUUCAAAAAACGGAGGCUUUAAUUCUUAGGCUUGAACAUACUUUGCCUGUUUCACAGUGAACACUGCAUCUUGUAUUAGUUAUGAAAAACAUGAAGAUCAUAUGAGACACGGUGUUCGUGUAAUCUCAUGCUGGGUAAUUACAAGUUUUAAUUGCUGCCUCAGAACUUUACAUUCUCCUAAAGUCUUUUUGAAAGUGUAAACAUCGAAAUUCUUAAAAAAAAAACAAACAAAAAAC